UUUAAGCAUAUCACUCAGUGGAGGAAAUGCAAGCAACCGCGAUUGCUUCAGUAACGGCGAGUGAAUGGGCAACACAAUCUCAGCCUGAAGUGAAUCCCAGACUGCACUGUCUUCAUGGCAGUUGCGUCCGGCUCUCUUGGGUUCAGCACAUGCUGUGGGCUGUGGAGCAGGUGGCAGUGUUCAGGUCUGGCUGUGCCCCAGGAAUGGCCCUGGAAUGGCCUACCACAGUGGGAUACUGUCCUUUACGAAGCACCAGUGGGUGUGGCCAGCCUGGACGUUGCUGCUUGUAUCCUGGAGUAGAGUGGCUUGGGACUGCAGUUUGAAGUGCAAGGUAUAUCCCUUGCAAGGCAGCAUACUGACAUGGAACCGAUAGUGCACAAGUAGAGUGAUCGAAGGAUGCAAAGGACUCUGCAAAGAGGGUUAAAAGCCCCUGAAGCCUCAGCAGGAACGGCGGUGAGUGGUGCUGUGGUUCUCAGCUCCAUGCAUGGAGCUGCCUGAGUUGUGUGGUGAAGCACUUGGAUGCAUGCUCUUGCUGGCUGGAGUGCAAGGUUGCUGCUGGCCCUCUGUGGCCUCAGUGGAUCUGCUUCAGUUGGUGGGUGGCUGUCUGUCUGGGUGUGGAGCUGCAUGGCCAGGGUCAAGCCAAUCUGUGUGUGGAGCAAUGCAUGCCAGGUGCCCUUGGGCCAGCCCAGCGCUGGUCACUGAGCUCUGUCCACCAGGAUGGGAUGCAAUCGUGACAGUGAUGUGGUGGCAAUCUGCCUGCCAGGGCCUGAGGGUUUCCCUGAGUCAAUCCCAGAGUUGUGAGUGCAGUAGCAUUGCUGGUGAUGCAAAGUGAGUUGCUUCCCCAAGCUGGUGUGUCUGCGGACAUGCCAGUGGCUGUGUCUGGUCCUGGUGGGGCUGGCGGCUGCAUGGUGGCUGCACCAUUCUGAUGGUGGCUCCUGUGUGGUUGCUGGUCCUCCAGACUUGGCAUGGUCAGAAGGCAGCUGAGCCUGGUACAAGCAGUGCCACUCUCUGCCCGUCUUGAAACACGGACCAAGGAGUCUAUGGAGCUUGCAAGUUGGCUGGUCUUCUGUAAACCAGAGUGCAUGGUGAAGGCAAAGCAACCCCAGAUGAGUGCAUGACUCUAUGUGAGUUGAGGCAGCAGCAUGUGUGCUGGAUUCUCCUUUGAGGGGGCAUGUGGAACGUCUGUGCCUCUUGCCAGAGGUGAUGAAGGUGCCAUGUGGUCUGUGAGUCCUGAGCUUGUGUGCUACUGCAUGGGGCACCAGUCCCAAAGUCCAGUGGACAGGGUUCUGAGUGAUUGCAAGGUCCAUGGGACCCGAAAGGUGGUGAACUAUACCGUGCUAUGAUGAAGCCGUGGGAAACUGCGGUGGAGGUCAGUCGCUGUUCUGACGUGCAAAUUGUGUAGCCUGAGUGCGGCAUAGGGGUGAAAGGCCAAUCGAACCACCUAGUAGCUGGUUUCCCUCGAAGUUUCCCUCAGGAUAGCCAGGUUCGAAUGCAACACCACAGCAGUGGUUACGUCCGGUAAAGCAACGCAUGAGAGGCAACCCUGGGGAGCUCAUGCUCCUCAACCUAUCCUCGAACUGUGAAUGGGCGUGGCAACACCCAACAAGCAUGCUUCUUCACUCAUGCUGGAGUCUGCAAUCAGGCAGUUCUCCUGGCUUCUGAGCGUGUUCAGGCAGGUGGCAGCCUUGAUGUCACCAGAGUUGUCCAAGGUGUGUGGAAGGCCAAGCAGCCAAGUCAAGUUGUGUGGGUGUGCAUCUCUGUGAGGCCACUCCACUGCUGGUGGUGUUGUUGUGAUGAGGCUUGCAAGGCUGGUACACAGUGCUGUGGACUUCUCACCUAACCCUGUGCCAAAGGGUUGCUGCCAAUGGUGGAACAGACGUGCCUAUGUGGACCAUUACUGGUAAGCAGUGCUGGUGAUGCGGGGUGCUCCGAGAGUGGACUUGAAGAUCCAGAGUGCUGGCUCAUACCCAGAUCCCACAAAGGAUGUUGCUCGCUAGUGAUAGCAGGACGGUGGCCAUGAAGGUUGGAACCCGCUAAGGAGUGUGUAACAACUCACCUGCCGAAGCGUGCAGCUCCCAAAAUGGAUGGUGCCCAAGUCAGUGAAGCUGAAUUUGCCUCAUAGUCCACUGCCACUGUGGCAGCAGAGCAGAGCAUUGGCAUGUAGAAGGACAUGGGAGACAGCAGUGCCAGCUGGGGUUGCCCCCAGCCUGAGUGUCUUCUGGAGCAGAUCUUGGUUGCAGUAGCGAGUACUCCAUCGGGUGAAGAGUGGCCAUAACACCCACCACUGUGUGCGGUUGAGGACUGGAGUGGAGCAGGUUUCCGCACCAAACAGCCGUUGAAUGCGGGUCAGCCGGCCGUGAGCCAAGUGGUAAGUUCACUGAACAACCAAAGCUGCCAAUCCCUCUGGGUCGUGAGUUGGUGGUGCUGAAGCACCCUGGCUGUGGGAUGCACACUGGUGCUCCAAGGUGACCACUCAGGUCUCCUGCACCAAGUCCAAGGUGGGCACCUCCCAUCAGCUGGUGUGGAAGGCCAAGUUGCAAGCAGGGCUUUAAGUCCCAGACCUGGAAGGGACUCAGGCAGGAGUGGCAAACAGGCAAGCAUGUGCAACAUUCUGCUGUGAUGGGCUUGGAGUACCAAGGGUGGUAACACCCUCAGACUUGGAGCAAGCAGGCUUCGGGGCAGUGCACCCUCUGAGGAGUUCUCGUUUCCUCCUGAUGCAGGUUCAAGUGGGCUAUGGAUUGCAUGUCAAGGUGGUGGUGUAUGCCCUCCACCCAGCAAGGCAGUGUAAGCUCAGCACUGAUGGACUCAAGGGACUCAUGCUAAGAUUGACCCAAUGGUGGUCACUGGCUCCAAUGAAAGGCCUGUGGGACAAUGUGCUCCUGGACCCUGGCUUUCGUACUGAAUCACCGCAGCCGGUCUCCUCGGCUUGACGCCGCUUGUCCACGGACGAAAUGCAGCUAAGGGAAGUCGGCAAACUAGCCAUGUACCUUUGGAAGAUGUGGUGGCUCCAGAGGCCAAGUCAUGGGGCCCUGCUGUGGACCGUGUGGUGUGGUGGUGGCUUCCCUGGAUGGUGGUUCCUGCCAUCGUCUGGGGUAUGCUUGCUGCUGCCAGCAUGGCUCUGUGGCAGGGGGUGCUAGCAGCCUUCUGGCUCUUGUGCCCAUCCCUGUGUCUGAUGAGUGGCCCAUAUGGAACUGUUGCUGCGCAGGGGAAUCUGACUGUUUAAUUGAAACCCAGCUUUGUGAAGGGACCAGCUGGCUGGUUCCAUGAGGUGACUUCUGCCCAGUGCUCUGAUUGUCAAUGCGAAGAGAUUCAGCCAAGCGCGGGUAAACGGCGGGAGUAACUAUGACUCUCUUAAGGUAGCCAAAUGCCUCGUCAACCAAUUAUUGACGCGCAUGAAUGGAUCAACGAGAUUCCUGCUGUCCCUAGUUGCUGUCUGGUGAACCAACAGCCAAGGGAACGGGCUUGGAUGUGUCAGCGGGGAAAGAAGACCCUGUUGAGA
rnacentral:rRNA from 1 species